AGCUAAUACCGCAUACGCUCUACGGAGGAAAGCGGGGGGAUCUUCGGACCUCGUGCUAUUAGAUAGGGCCUAUAUUGGAUUAGCUAGUUGGUAGGGUAAAGGCUUACCAAGGCGACGAUCCAUAGCUGGUUUGAGAGAAUGAUCAGCCACACUGGGACUGAGACACGGCCCAG
rnacentral:rRNA from 1 species